rnacentral:lncRNA from 1 species
UUUCAUGAAAUGUUAAGUUAGCAAUAUGAAUAUCCAAAUGCAAAUAAAGGGUGGAACUGGUACAGUACACAAUCAAUUGUCAAUGUAGAAGCACGAUUAUCUCUAAAUGCUAAAGUUUUUUUCAACCGGGGCCGUACCAGGUGGUGCUUCCAACUUAUUAUUUUUAUAACUCAAGAUCACUAAGGCUUAGGGAGUUCGGUUCACCAAAAUAAAAGGGAAACUUCACCAGUAGUGGUUUCCAGUGAAGACUUGGUUGCCAAUCCGCUUCUCUCACUACCUUCAAGGCUUCAAUAAUCUCUUUCACGACAAUCCUGCUUGACUUCGCGGUGAAAUGGAUCCCAUCAUCAGAGCCUUUCGGACAAGACCCGUGUUAUUUUUGCUCCUUCACAACAUUCUCGAUCGCAUGUGGUUGGGCUUAUACUAAGAAAUAAAGGAUAAGGAAAAAAAUAGUAAUUAGACUUGUUUGUUGUUUCAGCUACUCUAGCUACGUAUAACAUAAAAAUAAGCCAACUUGAAUAUAUCUUUUCUCCCAUAAUUUACUUACAAAAUCCGUUGAAUGAUAUUUUCAUGCUUUUAAGAUUGUUAAGAUCCCCCUUAACUAGAUUGUGAUCAAGUAGUUUGUAAUAUAUUGCUGUCACCGUGUAACAAUCUGAAAAUUCUACAAAAGAAAUAACAAUAAAAAUCUGAAAUUCCAGUAUACAUUUUUUUGGUGCACAAAAAUCUGAAAUUCCAGUAGAAAUAUUAUCUCAUUUUUUGGAUUCGCUACCCUCUCUCUCUCGCUUGAACAAUCGCUGCCUUCUUAAGUCAGUGUUAAUCUUCCAUUCAUGAUUUCGGGCGAGUGGUCUAUUUUGCUGCCACCAUAAGAGGGAUCAACCACAUACCCUUUUCUUGAGUUUUGCUUUUUUGGAUGUGGAGGUUCUGUUGUGGUCAGUCACUUUAUGACCAUUCCUUUGCUGUUUUUUGAAGUUGAUUUCUCGUCUUCUGUUCACGAGGUUGUAUUUUUCAUACUGUAUACUUCGUCUACUUUUAAUUGAAAUAGUUCGUUAAAAACGUUUCAGUAGAAAUCGUAUGUGGGCGGUUGCCGCAAAUAUAAUUGUUUGAUUGCUAACCGUUACAGCCGCAUAUUCUUUCUUUGUGAGAAGACAUCUAUUUUUACAUUGUGAGAAGGUAUGAGUGUGAUUACUUCUAAAUGGUAACGUAAGUUUCUUGUUCCGAACACUUCAAGGGACCAAAUCGUCAGAUGGUCUGUGACCAAGCUAGUGAUCUAUAGUAUAGAUGCCCUAACAUGUCAAACUGAAAGAACUUUAAAUAAUGUAGGGCCUUUGAUUCCAUUUGAUUUAAAAAUCUAACGAUACAGACAAAUAAACACUGUUGUUAUUUUCUAUCCAAGAAGGGUGGGUCGAUAACAACUUACAUCUUCCCACAUGCAUGUGAGAAGUACAUGGACGUAUCCUCACGAAGGUAGCUUCCGGGAAGUUUCCUUUAACGUCAAUUACAUUUUAAAAUGUU